UACGAAGGGGGCUAGCGUUGUUCGGAAUUACUGGGCGUAAAGCGUGCGCAGGCGGUGAUGUAAGACAGUUGUGAAAUCCCCGGGCUCAACCUGGGAAUGGCAUUUGGGACUGCAAGGCUCGAGUGCGGCAGAGGAGACUGGAAUUCCUGGUGUAGCAGUGAAAUGCGCAGAUAUCAGGAGGAACACCGGUGGCGAAGGCGGGUCUCUGGGCCGUAACUGACGCUGAGGAGCGAAAGCAUGGGGAGCGAACAGG
rnacentral:rRNA from 1 species